CCUACGUGGGGCAGCAGUGGGGAAUAUUGCACAAUGGGGGAAACCCUGAUGCAGCGACGCCGCGUGAGUGACGAAGUAUUUCGGUAUGUAACGCUCUAUCAGCAGGGAAGAAAAUGACGGUACCUGAUUAAGAAGCCCCGGCUAACUCCGUGCCAGCAGCCGCGGUAAUACGGAGGAUGCGAGCGUUAUCCGGAUUUAUUGGGUUUAAAGGGUGCGCAGGCGGUCUGUGAAGUCAGCGGUCACAGCCCGGGGCUCAACCCCGGCCCGCCGUUGAAACUGGCAGUCUCGAGUUGGAGAGAAGUAUGCGGAAUGCGCGGUGUAGCGGGGAAAUGCAUAGAUAUCGCGCAGAACUCCGAUUGCGAAGGCAGCAUGCCGGCUCCACACUGACGCUGAGGCACGAAAGCGUGGGUAUCGAACAGGAUUAGAUACCCGAGUAGUC
rnacentral:rRNA from 1 species